ensembl:miRNA
GUGCUUAAAGAAUGGCUGUCUGUGGUAUGGUCUCUAUAUUUAUGAUGAUUAAUAUCGGACAACCAUUGUUUUAGUAUCC